CCGGUGCAGCCCCGCCCCCAGGGCUCCGGCGUAAGCGGCUGGGGAUUCCGGUGGUGUGCGGGAAGCUGAGUCCAGCUGUUUUCUUCCUCCCUAUUUUUCUCAGCACUCUGGCGAGUUUCAGGAGAUCUGACAUCCUAUUCUGGCCUCUGCAGACACUGUAUACUUGGUGUACAGAAACACAUGCAGGUUCUUAGUAUGCAGCCAUAACAGGCUUGGAACUUACUCCGAAGAGCAGCUGGCCUUGAAUUGGAAACAAUCUUCCUGCCUCUGCCUUGGAAAUGCUGAGGUUACAGUUGUGUCCCACCAUGCCAGGUUCUAUGGUCCUCAACACUCUGGAGGUUUAAGGCAGAAGAUCUUUUAAAUAAAAUUAAUAUGUUAUUAUUUUAUGUGUGUGGGUGUUUUGCCUCCAUUAAUGCCUGCGCAUCAUGUGCCUGUCUGAGGCCAAAGGAAGCCAGAAGGGGACGUCAGAUUCUGUGGAACUGGAGUUAGAAAUGGUUCGAGCUACCAUAUGGAUCCUGGAAAUUGAGCCUGGGUUGGAAGAGCAGCCAGAGCUCUUAACCUCUGAGCAAUAUCUCCAGCCUCAGAGAGAGAACAAAAAUCACAGAGCUGUGAGAAGGCUACAGGACUAUUUCAGUGGUAGAUUGCUGCUUGCCCUGGGAUCAGUCUCCAGAACUAAGGAAAAAAGAAAACAUAAAAACCUUCCUUUAGAAUGUUGACUCUGCCUUGCCUAGAGGAAGUGAACUGAGGUCCCUGAUUGUCAUGGAAUGGAGGGAAGGAAAAGGAAAUGAACACUAUCACACAGCCAGGGUUCAAGCACGAUUUCAGAUUAGAUGCUGUCCUGCCUAGUUUUAUGUCAGCUUGACACAAGCUAGAGUUAUCUGAAAAGGUGGGAACUUUAAUUGAGAAGAUACCUCCAUGAACCGUGCCUGGCAUAGUGGCACACACCUGUAACCCAGCACUCAGAGAGGCAGAGGCAGGUUGGUCUUUGAGUUCGAGGCCAACCUGGUCUACAAUGUGAGUACAGGACAGCAAAGUGUUGUGGAAAUUUUGUCUUUAAAAACACAGUUAUGUCAUGUAAAUAUGUUUUUGUUUUACUGAUGUGGGAUAUGGGCCUGAUUCAGGUUGUCCAUAGCAGCAGACUACGUGCCUUGCUUGGGCUCUGAGAAGAGCUCUUUGCCAGCUGUGGAUAGUUUAGAUCUGAGGACUCUGGAGAAAGAAUAAAUGCCAGAGCCCAGAGAGUGUUGAGGGGCCUGAGAAAGGAGGAGGCUGCUGGUGCUUCUCUCCUGGUUGCUGCUGAUGCAGUGUGAUAAGAAGUUGGAGAUAUCCUGAAAAGAGGAUUGGAC